AAUAGAAGCAGCUUUCUGGGAAGCCUGGCCCGGAUACUGGUCUUGGUAUGGCAGGGGUGUGCUGGCUGACACAGACCCGAACUUUCUUCUGAGUUUCCUCCCAUGACUCUCUGGGGAAACCUGGAAGGGGGCGGUUACCCCUACCAGUGCUACAGUGAUGAGUCCUCCCGCAAAGGCACCAGAGCCGACUUAGGAUGGGGUUCCCUGGCGGAAACCCCAGGAAAAAUCUGGCAGGUCUCCCUUGUGUCCCAACUAGGGACACGGACAGCCGCUGCUGGGGGAAGAUAUGUCUGGGGGCGGAGACCCUACUGAGCAGGAAGACGACGGGGAUGGGCGUGAGGAUGGAGUCUUCAGGACAGUGUGAAUUCCAGGAGACCAGGCACCACUUGUGUCUUGCUUAGUUCUUGCCCAGUGAAGGGCAGGUACAUCCUAAAUGCCUGCUAUUCUCAAUUAGAUGCAGUUUCUGGAUCCUUCAUCCUUCUGUUCUCUGUCUCAGGGGCAUAUUGCAGCCUGUCAUCAACCUUGAAAAAAGCUGGCACACAGAACUGAAAACAGAAGCAAGACAUGGCUGUGCUGUCCCAGAAGAGGA